CAAAAGCUCCAGACGGUUCCAGAAGAUGCACUUACAUGGCAGUGGUUUGGAAAUCAAGGAUACCUAUGAGCAGCAAUAACAAACAGGAUUGAUUUUGACUUUAAAGCUGGAUCACCAACUUGCUGAGGUCAGGCCAAGUACUGGGAAAACAUAAAAUGACAAUCCUGACUGAAGUACUCUGAUGAGGAGAAUCCUUACCAUUCCCAUGUGCCAGAGUUCCAGCUUGAGAGCUUUGCUGUCCACGCUUCUUGGUGUUGUAACAAAUGGCAACUUGGCCUGGAAGCUUCUUUUUGUAAAGAAAAGAGAACUUCCCUGGUUCCAGGAUUAUUGGCACAGAAUGGGUCCCAAACCACAAGUACUUCAGUCAUUGAAUUACUGCUGCAUCCUGUGCAAAUCCUGUAAUUCACUGAGAAGGAAUGUAGGGUCAAGGGGAAGUAUUUUACUUACUGUGGCAGAUGCAUGGAAAGAAACUUCUAACAGAAGAAUGCUGAUGGACAGUAUUAAUUAUCCUGCAGGCUGAUAAUAUCUAAAUAUUUGAAAGGCAUAAACUUUCCCUGAAGCACAAGGGACUAUGAAGGCUGUUCCUCCUGGUUCUUUGAAGCUGUGAUCUGGUAUGGGGAAUAAAUGCUAACAGCAAUGCA
rnacentral:lncRNA from 1 species